rnacentral:lncRNA from 1 species
CACACACACACACACUGUGUCUUCUCAUUUCUGUGUGCACACACAGGCACACAUGUGUAAAAUCUCCAUGUGUUCAGUGACACUUCCCAUCCAAAGCAGAACCUCAGGAUUUGUUUCAUUCUUCUCUUCCCAUAGUUAGAACUCCCUUCUCCAACAGGGAGGAGCCAGUUGCUGCUAUCCUUCCUAUAUUAAUUUGCUCAAUCCCAGAAUACAUUGGAAUUAGUAACCCAAAUCACAAUUAAAAAAACAAGCCAGCACACUAGACUUAGGUAUUUGCAUAGAGUUUUUUUUUAAAGUGUUUAAUCUAAGGGUACACAGUCUAAGUACAAGCUCAGAGGUCAUCUGGGUUAGUUCUUUUUUCCACAUUAGUGUGGUUAUAUUACUCAUUUGACAUGUAGUAAGAGGUUUAUUACUGUUUGAACUCCAUUUUAGGCCCCUCCCUGUUUUGUUGAUUUUUAUCCUGUAUUUUGACAUGAUUCCAAAGAUGAAACUAUACAAAAUGUUUUCUCAGAAAAGACAUCCCCUCCCACCCCAUCCCCACCCACUGAAGGAAAUCAGUCUUACUAGUUUCUUUCUUUUUUUUUUUUGGUACCAAGGAUCGAACUCCGGACCUUCGGCUUAUGAGGCAGGCAAAGGAACCAAUGAGCUAAAUCCCCAGUCCAAGUCUUACUAGUUUCUAGUUUGGCUUUCCUUGCCUUUUUGCAAAAUAAACAGAUGCACAUUUACUUAUUUUUUCUCUUCCUUACAUUUUCACUGAAGAGCUUUUUCCAACAACAGCCAAUUCUCCAACACCAGCUAGAGUCCUGCACUUAUCCUUUUCUGACACUGACCGCUGGCUUCAGUUCAGAUCCAUAGUCAGUGGCUCAGCUCCUCAACACAUCCCUUCUUUCUGGACACAAGCCCAGGACCCCCAGCCUCUUGUACUUCUGUCCAACUUGGCUACAAAGUCAGAUGCUCUUAGACCUCUUCUCAGGCUUGGUAUUCUCUAGAAUGAAUGACAGAACUAAGGCAGGCACUUUAUUUAUGUCAAAAGACAAAAUUAUAACACAUUUAACUAAAAAUCUUAAUUGGCUUUAUUUUGAUUCCAGAAUCAGACAGCAUGUCAUGCCCCAAAAUACAAGUAUUCCAGUGGGCUGGGGGUGGGGGGGGGGAUACAUGCUAGCUGGGCAUGAUGGCACAGGCCUAUAAUUCAAGCAGCCUGGGAGGCUGUGGCAGGAAGAUUGCAAGUUCAAGCCCAGCCUAGGCAAUUUACUAACUUAACAAAAUUCUGUCUUAAAAAAAAAUCAGAGACUUUUCUUCAUUCACUUCACGGCUGCAAAGAACUUCAUGAGUGGAUGACGACAGUUUGCAAGUAAUUUGACCACAACUAAUUUAUGCAUGUGUAUUUUUUUAUUGUUAGAGAUUUAUCUUCAGGGUAAAUUCCUAGCGGUAGUAUUUCUGGG